rnacentral:rRNA from 1 species
AUGAACGCUGGCGGCGUGCCUAAUACAUGCAAGUCGCGCGAACAGACGAGGAGCUUGCUCCUCUGACGUUAGCGGCGGACGGGUGAGUAACACGUGGAUAACCUACCUAUAAGACUGGGAUAACUUCGGGAAACCGGAGCUAAUACCGGAUAAUAUAUUGAACCGCAUGGUUCCAUAGUUAAAGACGGUUUUGCUGUCACUUAUAGAUGGAUCCGCGCCGCAUUAGCUAGUUGGUAAGGUAACGGCUUACCAAGGCAACGAUGCGUAGCCGACCUGAGAGGGUGAUCGGCCACACUGGAACUGAGACACGGUCCAGACUCCUACGGGAGGCAGCAGUAGGGAAUCUUCCGCAAUGGGCGAAAGCCUGACGGAGCAACGCCGCGUGAGUGAUGAAGGUCUUCGGAUCGUAAAACUCUGUUAUUAGGGAAGAACAAAUGUGUAAGUAACUAUGCACGUCUUGACGGUACCUAAUCAGAAAGCCACGGCUAACUACGUG